rnacentral:rRNA from 1 species
AUUGAACGCUGGCGGCAGGCCUAACACAUGCAAGUCGGGCGGUAGAGAGAAGCUUGCUUCUCUUGAGAGCGGCGGACGGGUGAGUAAUGCCUAGGAAUCUGCCUGGUAGUGGGGGAUAACGUUCGGAAACGGACGCUAAUACCGCAUACGUCCUACGGGAGAAAGCAGGGGACCUUCGGGCCUUGCGCUAUCAGAUGAGCCUAGGUCGGAUUAGCUAGUUGGUGAGGUAAUGGCUCACCAAGGCGACGAUCCGUAACUGGUCUGAGAGGAUGAUCAGUCACACUGGAACUGAGACACGGUCCAGACUCCUACGGGAGGCAGCAGUGGGGAAUAUUGGACAAUGGGCGAAAGCCUGAUCCAGCCAUGCCGCGUGUGUGAAGAAGGUCUUCGGAUUGUAAAGCACUUUAAGUUGGGAGGAAGGGUUGUAGAUUAAUACUCUGCAAUUUUGACGUUACCGACAGAAUAAGCACCGGCUAACUCUGUGCCAGCAGCCGCGGUAAUACAGAGGGUGCAAGCGUUAAUCGGAAUUACUGGGCGUAAAGCGCGCGUAGGUGGUUUGUUAAGUUGGAUGUGAAAUCCCCCGGGCUCAACCUGGGAACUGCAUUCAAAACUGACUGACUACAGUAUGGUAGAGGGUGGUGGGAAUUUCCUGUGAGCGGUGAAAGCCUAUAAUU